UUUUAUAACUUUCAUGCAUUUGUACUAUUAAAAAUUAGUGUAGCUUACGGAAUAACUUGAUAAUAAUACGCAACGUGUCACAUGUACCUCAUAGUAAUGUACAGAAACCAGUUUUUAACAAUAAAAAUUGAUGAGAUUUUUAACA
rfam:Gossypium raimondii Chr02_contig_365, whole genome shotgun sequence.